UACGUAGGGGGCAAGCGUUGUCCGGAUUUAUUGGGCGUAAAGAGCGUGUAGGCGGCCAGACAGGUCCGUUGUGAAAACUCGAGGCUCAACCUCGAGAUGUCAUCGGAAACCAUCUGGCUAGAGUCCGGAAGAGGAGAGUGGAAUUCCUGGUGUAGCGGUGAAAUGCGCAGAUAUCAGGAAGAACACCAAUGGCGAAGGCAGCUCUCUGGGACGGUACUGACGCUGAGACGCGAAAGCGUGGGGAGCGAACAGG
rnacentral:rRNA from 1 species